GGAAACAGUGGCUAAGACUGGAUAGGAAGAUAAAAGGCAUCUUUUAUCUUUUUAAAGACCUAGUAAUAGGUAUGCUUUAGGAGGGGCUUGCGCCAUAUUAGUUAGUUGGUAGGGUAAUGGCCUACCAAGACGAUGAUGUGUAGCUGGACUGAGAGGUUGAACAGCCACAUUGGGACUGAGACACGGCCCAAACUCCUACGGGAGGCAGCAGUAGGGAAUUUUCGGCAAUGGAGGAAACUCUGACCGAGCAACGCCGCGUGAAUGACGAAGUACUUCGGUAUGUAAAGUUCUUUUAUCAAGGAAGAAAAGCAAAUGGCGAACCAUUUGUUUGCCGGUACUUGAUGAAUAAGCCCCGGCUAAUUAUGUGCCAGCAGCCGCGGUAAGACAUAAGGGGCAAGUGUUAUCCGGAAUUAUUGGGCGUAAAGGGUGCGUAGGCGGUCUAGUAAGUCAGUGGUGUAAUGGCAACGCUUAACGUUGUCCGGCUAUUGAAACUGCUAAACUUGAGUUAGAUAGAGGCGAGUGGAAUUCCAUGUGUAGCGGUAAAAUGCGUAAAUAUAUGGAGGAACACCAGAGGCGUAGGCGGCUCGCUGGGUCUUAACUGACGCUGAGGCACGAAAGCGUGGGGAGCAAACAGGAUUAGAUACCCUGGUAGUCCACGCCGUAAACGAUGAGUACUAAGUGUCGGGUUAAACCGGUACUGAAGUUAACACAUUAAGUACUCCGCCUGAGUAGUACGUACGCAAGUAUGAAACUUAAAGGAAUUGACGGGACUCCGCACAAGCGGUGGAUCAUGUUGUUUAAUUCGAAGAUACCCGAAAAACCUUACCAGGUCUUGACAUGUUUUUGCAAAAUGAUAGUAAUAUCGUGGAGGUUACCAGAAACACAGGUGGUGCAUGGUUGUCGUCAGCUCGUGUCGUGAGAUGUUAGGUUAAGUCCUAAAACGAGCGAAACCCUUAUCGUUAGUUGCCAGCACGUUAUGGUGGGGACUUUAACGAGACUGCCAAUGAUAAAUUGGAGGAAGGUGAGGAUCACGUCAAAUCAGCAUGCCCCUUAUGACCUGGGCUACAAACGUGAUACAAUGGCUGUUACAAAGGGUAGCUGAAACGCAAGUUCUUGGCCAAUCCCCAAAAACAGUCCCAGUCCGGAUUGAAGUCUGCAACUCGACUUCAUGAAGUUGGAAUCGCUAGUAAUCGCGAAUCAGCAUGUCGCGGUGAAUACGUUCUCGGGGUUUGUACACACCGCCCG
rnacentral:rRNA from 1 species